GACGAACGCUGGCGGCGUGCUUAACACAUGCAAGUCGAACGGAAAGGCCCCUUUGGGGGUACUCGAGUGGCGAACGGGUGAGUAACACGUGAGUAACCUGCCCUUGACUUCGGGAUAACUUCAGGAAACUGGGGCUAAUACCGGAUAGGAAUCCUUGCUGCAUGGUGGGGGUUGGAAAGCUUCGGGGGUUUUGGAUGGACUCGCGGCUUAUCGGCUUGUUGGUGGGGUAGUGGCUUACCAAGGCUUUGACGGGUAGCCGGCCUGAGGGGGCGACCGGCCAAUGUGGGACUAGGCAGAGGCCACGGCCCCGGCGGGGGGGGGAGGGGGGGAAAAUUGAAAAAGGGGCGGGAGCUGGAAGCCACAAGCCCGGGGGGGGGGUGGCGGCCUUGGGGUUGAAAACCGCUUUCAGCCGGGGAGAAGCUGGGGGUGACGGUUCCGGAAAAAGAAGCACCGGCUAACUACGUG
rnacentral:rRNA from 1 species